GAUGAACGCUGACAGAAUGCUUAACACAUGCAAGUCCACUUGAACUUCGGUUUGGGUGGCGGACGGGUGAGUAACGCGUAAAGAACUUGCCUCACAGUUAGGGACAACAUUUGGAAACGAAUGCUAAUACCUGAUAUUAUGAUUUUAGGGCAUCCUAGAAUUAUGAAGGCUAUAUGCGCUGUGAGAGAGCUUUGCGUCCCAUUAGCUAGUUGGAGAGGUAACGGCUCACCAAGGCGAUGAUGGGUAGCCGGCCUGAGAGGGUGAACGGCCACAAGGGGACUGAGACACGGCCCUUACUCCUACGGGAGGCAGCAGUGGGGAAUAUUGGACAAUGGACCAAGAGUCUGAUCCAGCAAUUCUGUGUGCACGAUGAAGUUUUUCGGAAUGUAAAGUGCUUUCAGUUGGGAAGAAAAAAAUGACGAUACCAACAGAAGAAGUGACGGCUAAAUACGUG
rnacentral:rRNA from 1 species